rnacentral:tRNA from 1 species
GCCGCCGGUGGCACACGGCCGGUACGCCGCUGCCGCUGGAGGCGGGCGGCGAACUGCCGGGCGUGCGGCUGGCGUUCGAGACCUGGGGGCGGCUC